AUUGAACGCUGGCGGCAUGCUUUACACAUGCAAGUCGAACGGUAACAGGCCUUCGGGUGCUGACGAGUGGCGAACGGGUGAGUAAUGUAUCGGAACGUACCUUUCAGUGGGGGAUAACGGUAGCGAAAGUUACGCUAAUACCGCAUAUUCUGUGAGCAGGAAAGCAGGGGAUCGCAAGACCUUGCGCUGAUUGAGCGGCCGAUAUCAGAUUAGCUAGUUGGUGAGGUAAGGGCUCACCAAGGCGACGAUCUGUAGCGGGUCUGAGAGGAUGAUCCGCCACACUGGAACUGAGACACGGUCCAGACUCCUACGGGAGGCAGCAGUGGGGAAUUUUGGACAAUGGACGCAAGCCUGAUCCAGCCAUGCCGCGUGAGUGAAGAAGGCCUUCGG
rnacentral:rRNA from 1 species